rnacentral:rRNA from 1 species
UACGUAGGGCGCAAGCGUUAUCCGGAAUUAUUGGGCGUAAAGAGCUCGUAGGCGGUUUGUCGCGUCUGCCGUGAAAGUCCGGGGCUCAACUCCGGAUCUGCGGUGGGUACGGGCAGACUAGAGUGCAGUAGGGGAGACUGGAAUUCCUGGUGUAGCGGUGAAAUGCGCAGAUAUCAGGAGGAACACCGAUGGCGAAGGCAGGUCUCUGGGCUGUAACUGACGCUGAGGAGCGAAAGCAUGGGGAGCGAGCAGG